rnacentral:rRNA from 1 species
CUUCGGUGGGAGCGGCGAACGGGUGAGUAACACGUUGGAACCUGCCUUGAACUCAGGGAUAACAUCUAGAAAUAGGUGCUAAUACCGGAUAGUCCCGAAAGGGUAAAGAUUUUUCGGUUCAAGAGGGUCCUGCGGCCUAUCAGCUUGUUGGUGAGGUAACGGCCCACCAAGGCUAUGACGGGUAGCUGGUCUGAGAGGAUGACCAGUCACAAUGGGACUGAGACACGGCCCAUCCUCCUACGGGAGGCAGCAGUAAAGAAUCUUCCACAAUGGGCGAAAGCCUGAUGGAGCAAUACCGCGUGAAGGAUGACGGUCGAAAGAUUGUAAACUUCUUUUCUGAGGGAAGAAUUCUGACGGUACCUCAGGAAUAAGCACCGGCUAACUCCGUGCCAGCAGCCGCGGUAAUACGGAGGGUGCAAGCGUUACCCGGAAUCAUUGGGCGUAAAGCGUCCGCAGGCGGUUUUUUAAGUCAAAUAUUAAAUCUCGUGGCCCAACCACGAGGCCGUGUUUGAAACUGAAAAACUAGAGUAUUUCAGAGGCAAGCGGAAUUCUGUGUGUAGGGGUAAAAUCCGUA